rnacentral:rRNA from 1 species
UACGAAGGGGGCUAGCGUUGUUCGGAAUCACUGGGCGUAAAGCGCGCGUAGGCGGGUCGUUAAGUCGGGGGUGAAAUCCUGAGGCUCAACCUCAGAACUGCCUUCGAUACUGGCGACCUUAGAGUCCGGGAGAGGUGAGUGGAACUCCUAGUGUAGAGGUGAAAUUCGUAGAUAUUAGGAAGAACACCAGUGGCGAAGGCGGCUCACUGGCCCGGUACUGACGCUGAUGUGCGAAAGCGUGGGGAGCAAA